ensembl:lncRNA
GCAGGACAUUUCGUUCCACUGUAUGCACUUGAACUUGAAGUUGAACUUGAAAGUUGUGGCACAUGUCGUCUCCACAGUAUGUUCCUCAAAACAUGAGGAUGGAAAGGAUCGGUCAGGGAUGAAAGACAGAAACUGUGACAUCAUGUAUUUAAAUGGCACUCCACCCGCAACAGAUGGAACAACGUUUGUCUUUCUUAAGGUUUAGUGUGAGUGUUUUGACCCGUCUUACUGGCCUGACCUCAGAUGCCUGCUUGCCUUAUCUUUAUUGCAGAGAUUAUUGUUAUAAUACUAGUCAUAUCAGAGGUUUUGUGUAGACUGGAAAUAUUUUGUGCUUCUGUUAGGACUUCUCUCCAUGAAAAAUCUUCUGUAGCGCCAAGAUCACAUCUGUGAAUCCAAAGUGUCUCAAUGACAAACGAUAACAUAAAUGUUUAGGCUGUUGCAAGUAAAACUUCCUUUUAUUGUUUUGAACCCAUAUAUUGACAGUUUUGAUCAAGUUGCUCUCAUUUUGUCCUAGUAUUAUUGUAACACCUCGUCUAUGAAGAUACAGUGUAUGACUUGGAGUAUGAAGGAGCGAUAAUUCACUGUGGAAAAUCUUACAGACAUUAAAGAAGCAUGUAUGAGCUUGCUUUAAUGAUAUGUUACAAAACCUUUACCAGCUCUGAACUACAGUAGUGACUGCUAUCAAAGAAAAAACAAAGUAUUUAAAAGAAAUAAAAUNUGUGUGUGUGUGUGUGUAGGUCUAUAUAUAUACUGAAAUGAAGGCAGGCGGAGCUCAUAUCGACAGUGGGCUUCUAUUAUAAGUAUUUGUUUUGGUCACAGACUCCUUCAGUUCUUAAGUUGUCCGUGAAUAUGGCGCUUGUUUGGAGCAGCAUACUCAUACUUGUGUUUGUGCACUUUGCCGUGUCUCAAAGAUAUGUUCCCUCUCGAUGUGGCAAACCAACCAAAUAUCCUGACAAGCAGCUGCACAGAAAACAUCUCCAAAGAGUAGAGUUCAAUCAUGGAGAAAUAGUGUUGUAUAUAUGUGCCCCGGGUUACGAACCAUUCGCAGGAAGUCGAACAUCACAGUGUGUGCACGGAAAAUGGAAAACCUUGAACAUGGAAUGCCAAAGUAAGAUACAUCUGUUUAUCUGUCUCUAAAAUAUCUCUUUUAUUGAUUCAUUGUACUCCACAUUUUCAUAUUUUCUCAUUUAUUCUCUCAGAGAAGAAGUGCAAUGCGCUUGGUGACAUAGAGAACGGGCGAUACGAUCAAGAAGGGCGAUCAUUGGGUGAUAAAGCCAUUGCUGUGUGUAAUGAAGGGUAUUUGAAUCUUUUUUUCUUGUUUUUUAAGUCUGCAGUCCAUAAAUUGGUGAAAACAUGGUUCAUUGAUAAUAAAUAGAAAAGGUAGAAUAAAUGUUUUUGACUU